rnacentral:misc_RNA from 1 species
UGGCUCUCGCAACGAUGAAGAACGCAGCGAAAUGCGAUAAGUAAUGUGAAUUGCAGAAUUCAGUGAAUCAUCGAAUCUUUGAACGCACCUUGCGCCCUUUGGUAUUCCGAAGGGCACACCUGUUUGAGUGUCAUUAAUUUCUCAAUCCUAAUAUUUUCAUUUAUUGAAUUUGUUGGAGGUUGGAUGUUGAGUGUUGCUGGAAUUUUAUUUCAGCUCACUUUAAAUUUAUGAGCAGGCUCCUACCUUUCGGACUGACUCAACGUGAUAAGAAAUUUCGUUGAGGAUGCUUUGUAGCAACCGAUUGUUAGGGAAAUGCCGCUACUAGUUAAUCAUUACAUUUUAGACCUCAAAUCAGGUGGGACUACCCGCUGA